rnacentral:tRNA from 1 species
AUUUAUAAAGUUUUUAAAACGUUUCAUUUUCAUUGAAGAGAGAAGCUCUUUGCUUUAUAAAUA